ACGGUACAGCACUUCGGUGGCUGACGAGUGGCGCACGGGUGCGUAACGCGUACACAAUCUACCUUUUACAGGGGGAUAGCCCAGAGAAAUUUGGAUUAAUACCCCAUGGCAUAUAUUUAUGGCAUCAUAUAUAUAUUAAAGAUUCAUCGGUAAGAGAUGAGUAUGCGUUCUAUUAGCUAGUUGGUGCGGUAACGGCGCACCAAGGCUACGAUAGAUAGGGGCCCUGAGAGGGGGAUCCCCCACACUGGUACUGAGACACGGACCAGACUCCUACGGGAGGCAGCAGUGAGGAAUAUUGGACAAUGGGCGAGAGCCUGAUUCAGCCAUGCCGCGUGCAGGAAGACUGCCCUAUGGGUUGUAAACUGCUUUUAUACGGGAAGAAACACCCCCUCGUGAGGGGGCUUGACGGUACCGUAAGAAUAAGGAUCGGCUAACUCCGUGCCAGCAGCCGCGGUAAUACGGAGGAUCCAAGCGUUAUCCGGAAUCAUUGGGUUUAAAGGGUCCGUAGGUGGAUGGUUAAGUCAGAGGUGAAAUCCUGCAGCCCAACUGUAGAAUUGCCUUUGAUACUGGCCGUCUUGAGUCAUUGUGAAGUGGUUGGAAUAUGUAGUGUAGCGGUGAAAUGCAUAGAUAUUACAUAGAACACCGAUUGCGAAGGCAGAUCACUAACAAUGUACUGACACUGAUGGACGAAAGCGUGGGGAGCGAACAGGAUUAGAUACCCUGGUAGUCCACGCCGUAAACGAUGGUCACUAGCUGUCCGGACCUUAGGGUCUGGGUGGCUAAGCGAAAGUGAUAAGUGACCCACCUGGGGAGUACGUUCGCAAGAAUGAAACUCAAAGGAAUUGACGGGGGCCCGCACAAGCGGUGGAGCAUGUGGUUUAAUUCGAUGAUACGCGAGGAACCUUACCAGGGCUUAAAUGUAAGUUGCAUAGAUCAGAGAUGGUCUUUUCUUCGGACUACUUACAAGGUGCUGCAUGGUUGUCGUCAGCUCGUGCCGUGAGGUGUCAGGUUAAGUCCUAUAACGAGCGCAACCCCUGUUGUUAGUUGCCAGCGAGUGAAGUCGGGAACUCUAACAAGACUGCCGGUGCAAACCGUGAGGAAGGUGGGGAUGACGUCAAAUCAUCACGGCCCUUACGUCCUGGGCUACACACGUGCUACAAUGGCCGGUACAGAGAGCAGCCACACCGCAAGGUGGAGCGAAUCUACAAAACCGGUCUCAGUUCGGAUCGGGGUCUGCAACUCGACCCCGUGAAGCUGGAAUCGCUAGUAAUCGGAUAUCAGCCAUGAUCCGGUGAAU
rnacentral:rRNA from 1 species